UUAGAGUUUGAUCCAUGGCUCAGGACGAACGCUGGCGGCGUGCCUAAACUAUGCGUGUCGCGCGGGCGUAGCCCGCGGCAUCCAGCUUACAGUAACCAGUAAUCAGUUAAGACUGAAGGCUGUGGGCUGAAUGCUGUGGACUGCGCUAGCGGCGAACGGGUGAGUAACGUGUGAGUAACCUGCCCCCGGAACCGGGAUAACUCCGAGAAAUCGGGGCUAAUACUGGAUAUGAAGUCCGCCCGCAUGAGCGGACUUGGAAAAGAGCAAUCCAUCCGGGGAGGGGCUCGCAUCCUAUCAGCUAGUUGGUGGGGUAAAGGCCUACCAAGGCGAUGACGGGUAGCCGGCCUGAGAGGGUGGUCGGCCACACUGGGACUGAGACACGGCCCAGACUCCUACGGGAGGUAGCAAGUGGGAAUCUUGCACAAUGGGCGAAAGCCUGAUGCAGCGACGCCGCGUGAGGGAUGAAGGCCUUCGGGUUGUAAACCUCUGUUGACAGGGAAGAAUCACUGA
rnacentral:rRNA from 1 species